CAUGCUUUAUCGUGGACACAUGAGGCUGGUUCCAGACCCUUUAAAUGUCAGUCCAGUUCACCCGCUUUUAAACAGACCUUCCGAUGAUCAGACAAGGCCUUUUUGGGCCGACGCAUGUCCCAUAGCUCACCAUUAAAUAUGAGGCGGCCCGUACUUUUGGGCCCUCGAACGGCGGCGCCGGGACAGAUGAGAUGAUAUUUGAUAUUUCCCUUCAGCAGGCAAAGUAGCGCGCGAAACACAAUGUGAUUUGUGAUUGCUGGGACGGCGUCGUUGCAUGCCUCCUUCUCCUUCGGGCAGGCAGGCAGUUCGUUCGAAUGGCUCGUCGGAGCUCUUUCGUUCCGAAAUUUCGCUUCUUCCUUCCGAUUCUCUGCAGCCAAACGUCGCGCUCGAGUGGAAAUCGUCACUCAUCAUCUCCCCAGGUUUGACCUUGAGGUCUCCCUAGGUAUCUCACAUGGACCAAUCACCCUGCGUUUCCUGCAUUUCUCUCCUCUGUGUUUUCUUUGUUCUGGAGCUGUUCGAUUGAAUCAUCCUUGAUAGGUGCCAUGAGUACGGAAGAUUAGGUCAAUGAUAUCAAGUAAAUUGACUGGGGAAGGCUAGCAAGCGGAGUUUAUGAUUUUUAUGGUCUGAGGACGUACAAUUGUACAGAUGAUAAUAUGAAUCUACUGAGGGAUAGGCUACUGCGAUCUGCUCUCUUGAGCUGCAUCUCUUCUUUUUAUUAAUCAGGCGAAGUAGAAUGCAUAUAUCUUCUGGCACUGUCAAGAAUGGGACGAGAUCGAUGUCAGAGGGGAGAUGACAGGAGCCGUAGUUGCCUGACAAGUUAGAUAAAGCUAAAGCCGGAUAUUCUUCUUUCCCAGCCUGCAGGUACAGUGCCUCCUUUCUGAUGCCACUAUUUUGUACUGCUGGCAAGCUGUAUGGCUCUUGAUGGAUGGUUUAACCGAUUGAUGUAGGUUCAAAUAUGGAAACUUUUAUUCUUGAAUAUAUUUUAUUGCAUGGGAUACUAAAAGUGCACUUGCUUUGUCUAGACAAUCUUCUGAAAACUGAGUCUUGAAACUUCAAGUACAGUUGCUUCUCAAGUUGAAGGGGUUAUUUUGCAGGAACAUGUAAAGAAAUGAUGAAUCCAUUUUAUUUUCGUUUACUUCUGUUAUAAUUGUCUCAGAGGCUUAAGCCCCCUCUAGUCUCCGGUGAUAACCGUAGCUGUCUACUUCAUCCCGAAUGCUAGGUUACUCGAAUAAUCUUAAUUUGUUCCCUAUCGAUGAUCUGAGAUUCAAAAAGGUUCUGAAAAGUACUUAAAAAACUCGCAUGUUGGCUUUAUAAAUUAUAGGAAAGGGAAAAGAUGAUUCCCUUUUUUCAUUUUUCGCAUGUGCAAAUAGAGAUUAUUCUGAAGUACAUAUAUAUCACGUAAAAUGUUUUUGUGUAUACUGAUCUGUCUGAGGAUGCUGCCCACUUUAUGAACAGCUUCAGGCUUGGGCUAGAAAUUAUUCACCAUCGAUGAGUUAUAGUGUUCGAAAUCAAUGUCCUUGUGCCCCUUUCUGUUUGUAUCUUUGCAGUCUCACAAAUGAAGGGUACUUUGCAUUUUGUUGAUUUGUUCUUUCAACUUCAGUGCUUAUUUUUUAUAUAAGCAUAUACACGAGAACGGGCGAUUCGGAAGUCAGACAGAAGCAAACUAGACAAAAAAGACUAAGUUCUAUAUUAUCUUGUUUACACGUGCAGACUGCAGUCCAUCAAAGUAAUGAUAUCCUCAUCAUCACGGCAGAUCUACAUGAUUCUCUUUUCUGCUUUUGAAUGAAAACACAGUUCAAAGAGUGACUAAGAACUUGAUGUAUGCAUGACGGAAUUACUCUAAUCCUACUUGUACUUGAUGCAAAGCUAUAUGCAAGGCUUGUGGAAACCCAUAUGAUACAGG